UCGAUUGUGCGCGAGGCGGCCUGCGGCCCAUGCAGAAGAACGCAGUGGAGCUUGUCCAGCAGAGCGGACCGACACCGGCACCCCAGUGAGGCUCCCGUGGCCGCGAGACUUGGGUCGACCGAACCGCCAAGAGGAAGCGUAGUCGAGCGUUCGGCGCAAACGAAUUUUCCACAGUGGCUAGUCGGGAAGCGCCCAGCUCUGCAGCACAAGAACUGCGGACUUAUCGUGGAGAAACGCAAGAAGGUGCACAGUGGAGGCCAAGCUUUUUCUCAUGUACGAGACGUGAGGGCUCCAAGGUAAGUCUCUAUCAAUAAUGACGCC